UCUGAGGACAAAUGCCCAAAAGGCCCUUGUCUCUUCAGGUCAAAGUGGUUGACCUCAGUGAAAGUUUUCUGGCUGUGGAAAAAUUUUUCUCUGUGAGUAGGCAAAGGACAAUCAAAAUCCUAAUUAUUAGAAGCCUGCUUAGGCUCAUCUAAGUUCCAGCCAGAGAAGGUAAUGAAAUCAGUUCUAGAGACAGUGCUGAGAUGGCAUCAUUCUUGGGACCUGGCUACUAAAACUGUAUACUAUUCUGUAUUCAGAUGAUGUCAGUACAGCCAGUGAGAUGUAGCACACCACCCUUUGCUUCUGGAACAGAAACCAGACUGCAAAGGGCACUGGGCACAGAAGCUAAUGGGACUCGGAAUGACAAGACAAAAAGAGCAGAAACGGUCCAGUGCCUCUCAAUGAAUAUUUCAGGACUAUCAACACAUGCUUAUCAUGAGGAAAUUGCUUGUUUAUGCAGAGCAUGG